GCUGUACUUGGUGUAUGCCAACAUGCCGACAUGCUAAAAUUUGUUAGCACUUCAAUAUCUUAUAAUGGAAAAUUGUAUCCAAACUGAAGUAUAAACCAGCCUGGUUGCUGUAGGCACAGAGGAAUUUUCAAGGACAAGAACCAGUGCUGGUCAAAAUGUGGUCUCGUGUGGUUUUUCAUACCGGUUCUCGGCAAGGAUUUCCGAGAAAGGAAUACCGUCUCCAAAUCAUGAUGUGCCAAUAAGCUCCAGUUAGCUGCGGCUUUUCCCCACCGGCGGUAGUCCUGCAAUAUGAAUCCAGGAGAUGC